CUAUAAAAGAUGUAACAGAUGCAAACUGUAACACAAGGGCCAUUAACCCUCUCUCUGCCGAGCACGCUCAGUCCCCCACGCCCCGUACCUAUUGUCUCCCGUGCGAGAAGCCUUGCGGAAAACCUGGAA
rfam:Ochotona princeps cont2.70490, whole genome shotgun sequence.